CCUACGGGAGACAGCAGUCGAGAAUCAUUCACAAUGGGGGAAACCCUGAUGGUGCGACGCCGCGUGGGGGAAUGAAGGUCUUCGGAUUGUAAACCCCUGUCAUGUGGGAGCAAAUUAAAAAGAUAGUACCACAAGAGGAAGAGACGGCUAACUCUGUGCCAGCAGCCGCGGUAAUACAGAGGUCUCAAGCGUUGUUCGGAAUCACUGGGCGUAAGGCGUGCGUAGGCUGUUUCGUAAGUCGUGUGUGAAAGGCGCGGGCUCAACCCGCGGACGGCACAUGAUACUGCGAGACUAGAGUAAUGGAGGGGGAACCGGAAUUCUCGGGGUAGCAGUGAAAUGCGUAGAUAUCGAGAGGAACACUCGUGGCGAAGGCGGGUUCCUGGACAUUAACUGACGCUGAGGCACGAAGGCCAGGGGAGCGAAAGGGAUUAGAUACCCUGGUAGUC
rnacentral:rRNA from 1 species